UGCAUUCACUACUGUAAGUCGCUCUGGAUAAGACCGUCUGCAAAAUGACGUAAA
rfam:Salmo salar isolate Sally breed double haploid chromosome ssa28, whole genome shotgun sequence.